GGAAUAUUGCGCAAUGGAGGAAACUCUGACGCAGUGACGCCGCGUAUAGGAAGAAGGUUUUCGGAUUGUAAACUAUUGUCAUUAGGGAAGAUACAAGACAGUACCUAAGGAGGAAGCCCCGGCUAACUAUGUGCCAGCAGCCGCGGUAAUACAUAGGGGGCAAGCGUUAUCCGGAAUGAUUGGGUGUAAAGGGUGCGUAGACGGAGGAGCAAGUUGGCUGUGAAAUCCCUCGGCUUAACUGAGGAACUGCAACCAAAACUACUUCCCUUGAGUGUCGGAGGGGAAAGUGGAAUUCCUAGUGUAGCGGUGAAAUGCGUAGAUAUUAGGAGGAACACCGGUGGCGAAGGCGACUUUCUGGACGAUAACUGACGUUGAGGCACGAAAGUGUGGGGAGCAAACA
rnacentral:rRNA from 1 species